UAAAAGAUGGCUGAGUUAAUAAGCAAUAGACUGAAGAUCUAAGAACGAUAAAUAUUUAUCUCUUUU
rnacentral:tRNA from 1 species